rfam:Nipponia nippon contig15217, whole genome shotgun sequence.
UGAUGAGACAUCUCCGGAAUCGCUGUACCGCCUUGAUGAUUCCCUUGAACCCUUGUUUAUCUGAUGACUGCGGCUGUUCCGU